UGGCUAUAUCAUGUUAAAACACUGGUUUCCAUACAAUCACUUAAGUUAAGCAACAUCGAGCCUGGUCAGCACCUAGAUGGGUGACAGCUUGGGAAUACUAAGUGCUGUA